UGCCAGCAGCCGCGGUAAUACGCAGGGUGCGAGCGUUAAUCGGAAUUACUGGGCGUAAAGGGUGCGCAGGCGGCCAUGCAAGUCAGAUGUGAAAGCCCCGGGCUUAACCUGGGAAUUGCGUUUGAAACUGCAAGGCUAGAGUGCAACAGAGGGGAGUGGAAUUCCAUGUGUAGCAGUGAAAUGCGUAGAGAUGUGGAAGAACACCGAUGGCGAAGGCAGCUCCCUGGGUUGACACUGACGCUCAUGCACGAAAGCGUGGGGAGCAAACAGGAUUAGAUACCCUGGUAGUCCACGCCCUAAACUAUGUCAACUAGUUGUCGGAUCUAAUUAAGGAUUUGGUAACGUAGCUAACGCGUGAAGUUGACCGCCUGGGGAGUACGGUCGCAAGAUUAAAACUCA
rnacentral:rRNA from 1 species